GGUGUCAAGAGAGGUGGACCAGAGUGACAACCGUGUCCUUGGCUCGCCACUCGAUUGACUCGAGGUUAUCUAUUGUAUAUACGGCCUCAUACAGCCUCAAAUUGAAGCAUAUUCUUCCAAAAAAUAAUAUAAGAUCUUCGAGUUAGCUUCGUCGAUCACUCCGGCGUUCCAUUGCGUUUUGGCGAUGAAAAGCAGCGGUGCAUGGAGCUCGUACAACGUCAUUCCUUCAAGAACGAGACAGUGAGGCUCGACAACAUCCAAUACCUGCAGCAGUAACUUACACAUAUCAAUUUUAUGCUCCAAUACGAUGUCUGGUAGAUCAUCUAGGAGGUACUCAUCAACACGACCAUACAUCUGUGUUAACGAAUGCCUGAAAGUAAAUUUCAAUAAAUUAAUGUGGGAACAGGUGACUUGCUUUGUAAUAAAUAUAAUUUUUAAUCAUUGUAGUCUGAAUAGGCUCGAUUAAAGUAGUUUCAAUCAGAA